AAUUGCCUCAUGUGCAGUCCAGUUAGGACUGUAUAUAACUGUCUUUUCGCUACCAAUUACCAAAUUAACUGAAACUUUUAUUUGUUCAUCGAUUAUGUGUGCAUGAGUGUGUGUGAUUGCAAAUGCAUGGUUGUGAUAGUAUUGGAAAUUUGGAAUUUGCCUUGAAUACUUUGUUUGGUUUGCUUCCAAAGUCGGCAUGAUGGCAGA
rnacentral:misc_RNA from 1 species